rnacentral:rRNA from 1 species
GGACGUAGGGCGCAAGCGUUGUCCGGAUUUAUUGGGCGUAAAGAGCUCGUAGGCGGCCUGUCGCGUCAACCGUGAAAUCCCGCGGCUUAACUGUGGGCGUGCGGUUGAUACGGGUGGGCUGGAGUUCGGUAGGGGAGACUGGAAUUCCUGGUGUAGCGGUGAAAUGCGCAGAUAUCAGGAGGAACACCGGUGGCGAAGGCGGGUCUCUGGGCCGAUACUGACGCUGAGGAGCGAAAGCGUGGGGAGCGAACAGGAUUAGAUACCCUGGUAGUCCACGCUGUAAACGUUGGGCGCUAGGUGUGGGGGGCCUUCCCGGUUUCCUGUGCCGUAGCUAACGCAUUAAGCGCCCCGCCUGGGGAGUACGGCCGCAAGGCUAAA